rnacentral:lncRNA from 1 species
GGAACUGAAAUGAAACAGAGAAGUGUGAAGAACAAGGGAGAAAUCUAGAACUCAAGACGUUAUCUAUCUCUCAAGCUUUGGCCAGAUGAAUUUCUUUUUUUUCUUUUUUUUUUUUGGUUCUCUUUUUCUGAUUCAUUUCAAGUCUUUUCUUUUACUCUCUUUAUAUAAUUUUUCUUAUUUCCAGACCUGUUCUUUCUUUCUCAACCACACCAGAAUUUUCAGCACAUUUUCUUUUUUUUUCACUUCUGGCCUCACUCUUUUUCAUGCAUUCACCAAGUUCUAGACCUCUUCCUACAUCUCACAAGUCUC